GGGCCCGCACAAGCGGUGGAGUAUGUGGUUUAAUUCGAUGCAACGCGAAGAACCUUACCAGGGUUUGACAUCCUGCGAAUCUCUUGGAAACAGGAGAGUGCCUUCGGGAACGCAGUGACAGGUGGUGCAUGGCUGUCGUCAGCUCGUGUCGUGAGAUGUUGGGUUAAGUCCUAUAACGAGCGCAACCCCUGUGGUUAGUUGCCAGCGAGUAAUGUCGGGAACUCUAGCCAGACUGCCGGUGCAAACCGCGAGGAAGGUGGGGAUGACGUCAAAUCAUCACGGCCCUUACAUCCUGGGCUACACACGUACUACAAUGCUACGGACAAAGGGCAGCAAGUUCGCGAGGACAAGCAAAUCCCAUAAACCGUGGCUCAGUUCAGAUCGUAGGCUGCAACUCGCCUACGUGAAGGCGGAAUCGCUAGUAAUCG
rnacentral:rRNA from 1 species